CAUUGAGGAGGAAUGGAGUGACAAAAAUCAGCAGCAGGAAAGGAUGGUUGUAAUGUAGGAAACAACCGGAGUGCACCUCCAUAUUCGGGUUUCCAACCUUCGUCAGGUUCUACCAAGUAUAAGAUAUAGGAAAUGCACCUGGUACCAAUAACAUCGUCAUGAUUCAUCAAAUGGCAUCCUUUUGAGUAAACAUUAACAGACAAAUCUUUUUUGCUAGCCGAUAAAGGGCCACAGCCGGUAAUCUUUUGAACGUGAGAGCGAAAUUCCUCAGAGUAAAGAGCAUCACGAACUUGACGCAAAUACUUAAGCAUGUUUUGCUCUUUCUUGUCUAAUCCAUCCAAGUUUGCUAGAUCACCAGUUUGCCAAACACGGUAAAUAUCAGUUACUUUCUCUGUAAAAUGUAUGUUUUCCAUAAGUUCCUUACGAACAUUUCGAAGAAGUGUAUCAUUGAUCAGAGGACGAAUCACAACAUGAUUAUACGGUCCAUUUUUGUGAUAUUCCCGUGAAAGUCUUUCUGCCUCACUGGUAUCUAAUGCAUGAGGCGCAAAUCUAUCCAGCACUGUUGGUUGUUGAGUAUCCCCCAUCCCGUUUUUAUAUUUGAGAUUUCACCUGAAUAUAAUGUGCAAUUAGGUAAAAAUUUUAGUGGUUGGCAAACUCCCAAUAGUAGCAAUGAAAAGCAUCCCACCCAUUUUUAUGGACUCGGGUCUCACCAUAGGUAACAUUCUUGAAUUAUCGUAAGACUUUCUUAGACCUCCUAUUACGGAGUGACUUCGGUAACUGUGAAUUUGUUUAAUGAUAGGGAACGCAGGUUAAUUCUUCGCUUGCUUAAAACAACGUGCUAUCCGUAAUUCUGCCUAUUGCUAUAUAUUUGGAUAGUAACGCUUCGAGCUUAAAGAACAGUAUAGUCCCAAAAUAAGGCUAAAAGAGUUUGAAUCUUAAACAGUAAUCUGUUUUCUUUUCCAUUUUCUGAUUAGUUAGAUAACUUUCUUUUGAUGCUUUUGAAUCAAAUAAAUGAAUUAUUCAAGAUGUUUGUGAUUUAAAGUACUAUUUUUUUAUUCCUUAAAAAAACCGUAGCUAGUUUUAUUACCACAACUCGCAUUUCAGGUUUCGGAAAUUAAUCUCAUUUCU